CUAUCAAUGACCUCUGAUGAUGCGCCCGUAAGUGAAGGGUUGCCAGUUCAGACAUCUGAUGACGCCAGUAACUUAAGGGUUGCCAGUUCGGAUCCCAGGGCUGAGGGGAAAAAUCUGACAACCAGAAGGUUGCUAGCAGAAGAAUCAGGGAUUGUAACAUACUCUGUUUUACGGAAUCAAUUCAGCCAUCUGGGUUCUCAGCACAUCGCGCAGACAGGAAUAAAGAACUCUCUGGGAAGAAGAAAGGAGGUGAGGUAUGUUUCAUGAUUAACUACUCAUGUUGUGAUUGUGAUAACAUGUAGAAACUCAAGUCCUUUUGUUCACCCUACCUAGAAUACCACACAAUCAAAUGCCGACCGUAUUUACUUUCAAGAUAAUUCUCUUCAGUUAUAGUCACAGCUGUGUAUAUUCCCCCUCAAGCCGAUACAAUGACGGCCUUCAAAGAACUACACUGGACUUUAUGCAAACUGUAAACCACAUAUUUAUUGUAGCUGGGGAUUUUAACAAAUGAAAUUUGAGGAAAAUGCUACCGAAGUUCUACCAACACAUUCACUGUAGUACUCGCGCUGGUAAAACAUUGGACCACUGCUGCUCUUCUUCUUCGUUGGGGUUUAUCGGCGGUUGACAUUCAAUGUUAUGGUGCAUUACUGCCACCUACUGUACUGGAGUGUGGGCCAGAGACAGGGAGAAACUAAACCCUACUUGCCAGCCCUGUUACAUUUAAAAAAUAUAUAUAAAAAAUACAUAUUUGAGACUAUAUCUAAUGAUGUGCUAAUUAAUAUACUCUUUAAAAUAAUUUAUUGUAUCCCCUUCUCCCUCAUACUAGAUCUCAGCCUCUCUAUUUCCCUCUGAUACUGCCCACACUAUAGCAAUACAUGCUCCACGGCCUCUGUUUCCUGGUAAUAAUCACACUUUCCUGUUGGAUGCUUUCCUAUCACAUUUAAGGACUUAUUCAACUGGCUGUGUCCCACCCUUAAUCUUGUAAAAAUAUCCUCCUCUCUUCUGUCCCUUCCUGCCGUCCUCCCCUCUCCGACUUUACUCUGUACUUGAAAUAAAUGCCUGUCCUUAGUAUCUCUAUUCCACUGCUCCUGCCAUCUCUGCACCUUCACUGUCCAUAUCAGGCUUUUAACCUGCUCCUGCCAUCUCUGCACCAUCACUGUCCAUAUCAGGCUUUUAGCCUGCUCCUGUCAUCUCUGCACCAUCACUGUCCAUAUCAGGCUUUUAGCCUGCUCCUGUCAUCUCUGCACCAUCACUGUCCAUAUCAGGAUUUUAGCCUGCCAUCUCUGCACCAUCACUGUCCAUAUCAGGAUUUAGCCUGCCAUCUCUAACACCAUCACUGUCCAUAUCAGGAUUUAGCCUGCCAUCUCUGCACCAUCACUGUCCAUAUCAGGCUUUUAGCCUGCCAUCUCUACACCAUCACUGUCCAUAUCAGGCUUUUAACCUGCUCCUGCCAUCUCUGCACCAUCACUGUCCAUAUCAGGAUUUAGCCUGCCAUCUCUGCACCAUCACUGUCCAUAUCAGGAUUUAGCCUGCCAUCUCUGCACCAUCACUGUCCAUAUCAGGAUUUAGCCUGCCAUCUCUGCACCAUCACUGUCCAUAUCAGGAUUUUAGCCUGCCAUCUCUGCACCAUCACUGUCCAUAUCAGGAUUUAGCCUGCCAUCUCUAACACCAUCACUGUCCAUAUCAGGAUUUAGCCUACCAUCUCUGCACCAUCACUGUCCAUAUCAGGAUUUAGCCUACCAUCUCUGCACCAUCACUGUCCAUAUCAGGCUUUUAGCCUGCCAUCUCUGCACCAUCACUGUCCAUAUCAGGAUUUAGCCUGCCAUCUCUGCACCAUCACUGUCCAUAUCAGGCUUUUAGCCUGCCAUCUCUGCACCAUCACUGUCCAUAUCAGGAUUUAGCCUGCCAUCUCUGCACCAUCACUGUCCAUAUCAGGAUUUAGCCUGCCAUCUCUGCACCAUCACUGUCCAUAUCAGGAUUUAGCCUGCCAUCUCUGCACCAUCACUGUCCAUAUCAGGCUUUUAGCCUGCCAUCUCUGCACCAUCACUGUCCAUAUCAGGCUUUUAGCCUGCCAUCUCUACACCAUCACUGUCCAUAUCAGGCUGUUUUCCUCUGCUUUGCUCAUUGAAACUACAACGUCAACAUCCCCACUUCUAAGUGCUUGUUUAGCCAGUCCAUCAACUGCCUCAUUCCCCUCCACCCCCACAUGGGCUGGGACCCAAGUAAAUGUUAUCUGUAUACCCAUCUGUCUCAUCCUUCCAUGGGUUUAUAGCACCUCAUAAAGCAGGUCUUGUCUGCUACGUGAGCUAAAUGACUGGAGACUCAUCAACACUGCACAUAAAUCAGAGCAAAUAACUACUUGGUGAAUGCACCAAUUUGUAAGUCACUCUGGAUAAGAGCGUCUGCUAAAUGACGUAAAUGUAAAAAUGUACUCUGUCUGGCUUGACUUCCUCCACCCACUGCAAGGCCAACAGUAUGUCCAUCAGCUCUGCCGUAUAUACAGCCAGAUGAUCUGUAAUACGUUUCCUGACUGCCACCCCACAUUCCUGCACUACAAAUGCUGACCCAGUACGCUCUGUCCUUGGAUUUUUUUUAACCAUCUGUGUAUAUGGCCACAAAAUCCUGAUACACAGUAUCCAGACGUCUCUUAAACAAAUGAAAUGGUUCAACACUCUGCCUAUCUUUCUGUAGUCUCUACAACUCUUCUACAACUCUUCUAGAUCAACUUCUGGAGGCAGGAGUAGCCCUGGUGGAUUUUCCACUGCUACUCAAAUUUUCAAAAUGCCUACAAGCCCCCCC
rnacentral:lncRNA from 1 species